rnacentral:rRNA from 1 species
AUUGAACGCUGGCGGCAGGCCUAACACAUGCAAGUCGAGCGAGCGGCGGACGGGUGAGUAAUGUAUGGGGACUGCCCGAUAGAGGGGGAUAACUACUGGAAACGGUGGCUAAUACCGCAUACUAUCGGAUAACCCAUAUGGGAUUAGCUAGUAGGUGGGGUAAAGGCUCACCUAGGCGACGAUCCCUAGCUGGUCUGAGAGGAUGAUCAGCCACACGGGGACUGAGAGACGGCCCAGAGGCCUACGGAGGAAGGAGUGGGGAAUAUGGGACAAUGGGCGCAAGCCUGAUGCAGCCAUGCAGCGUGUAUGAAGAAGGCCUGAGGGUUGUAAAGUACUUUCAGCGGGGAGGCGUUACCCGCAGAAGAAGCACCGGCUAACUACGUGCCAGCAGCCGCGGUAAUAC